GGAUGAUAAAAUAAGAGUAGUAAAAGCAAAACUAACAGCUAACUGUUAAAAGCAAGGGUAAAAUAGUGUGUCUUUAGACUAGACUUAAAAUCUGCCAAGGUGGAUGCCAGUCGAACUGUGACUGGAAGUUUGUUCCACAGUUUAGGACUCGCAACAGAGAAAGCUCUUUGUCCACAUGAUUUGUAAUACGCUUUCGGGACCUCGAGGAGCAUCAGGCUGGAGGACCUGAGUGUGCGACCAGGAGUAUAAAUUGAAAGAAGAUCAGAUAAGUACACGGGGGCAAGACCAUGGAGGGAUUUGAAAACAAAAAGUAGCAUUUUAUAUUGGACCUGAAAGUGAUGGGCAACUAAUGAAGGGAUUUGAGAACUGGUGUUAUAUGCUGGCGCCUGUCAGUACGUGUUAGGAAUCUAGCAGCUGCAUUUUGAACGAGUUUAAGUCUGGCAAGGGUUGACUUAUUGACACCCAGCAAAAUUGCAUUUGAGUAGUCGAGCCUAGAUGUGAUGAAGGCAUGAACAACUGAUUCCAAAUUUUUUCUAGAUAAAACGGCUCUUAAUUUGGACAGAUGGCAGAGUUGUAAAAAACAAGAUUUUACAGUGGCAUUGACCUGGGCGUCCAUCCUUGGAGAUGAAUCCAUCUUCACACCCAGGUUUGUCACAACGGUUUUUAGAUUUUGAGAAACAGAUGAAAGAUCUGGGGUUUGGAAUGAGCUAGAUCUGACCGGAUUAAACAGGAUCAGUUCAGUCUUGGAAUUGUUGAGAUGCAGAAAAUUUGUGGCCAGCCAACAUUUCACAUCACGUAGGCAGUCUAGAAGAGGCUGGAUGGAUUGCUGGGGUUUCACCGACAUGUAAAUCUGACAGUCGUCAGCAUAUAAGUGAUAUUGAUCAGAGUGUUUUUUUAGGAGUAAGCUGAGGGGAAGGAGGUAAAGACAAAACAACAAAGGGCCCAGAAUAGACCCCCGCGGGACCCCACACGAGAGAGGAGCAAAGCGAGAUGAGAUGAGAUGUUGUUCAACACCACCUGUUGGGACCUGUUAGACAAAUAAGACCUAAACCAAGUUAGGGCUGGACCACGUAUUGCAGCAACCUCCUCUAAGCGUAAUAAAAGGAUGUGGUGGUCGACGUGUCAAAGGCGGCGGACAGAUCGAGAAGUAAUAACACAGCAUAGGAGCCAGAAUCAGUAGCCAUAAAAAUGUCAUUGAAGACACGGAGGAGAGAGGACUCAGUGCUGUGCAGGAGUCGAAAACCUGACUGAAAGACAUCCAUUAUGUUAUGAUCGGCUAGAUGAGUUGAUAGCUGAUCAUAGACCACCUUCUCCAGAAUUUUUGCCAGAAAUAGAAGCUUGGAAAUUAGAAAGAAACGAGACGUCAAGGCCUGUUUUUUUUUAGAAGCAGCUGAACCACAGCAUGUUUGAAGACGGGGGGUACAACACUGGAAAUAAGACUGGUAUUGAUAAAGUGUAGGAUAUAAUGACCUAUAGCUGGGAACACCUCUUUCAGGAGGCGCGGAGGAAGGAUGUCAUCUUGGGAACCAGAUGGUUUCAUCGACAGAAGCAAAGAAUCCAGGCAUGGUAGGGAAAUAGGUUCAAAGCUGAGGAAGGUCGCUGUAUUAAAGGUUAAGGUAGGAAGGGUGUGCAGAGGGAGUGAUAAGCUAGCCCUGAUAGAGGGAACCUUAUCAGAAAAGAAAUCUAGAAACUGAUCCGGGAGAUUUGGUGCAAUAACUGAGCAGUUGGACUCAUGAGGAACGAGAACUGAAUUAAUAGUUUUGUAAAGAACUUUUUGAUUGGACCGGUUUGGAGAAAUAAUUUUAGAAAAGUAAUAGCUUCUGCUGCCAUUUACUUCCUUCCUAACUUCUGGCCAAAACAGUUUAGGUUUUUCACAUUUGUUGGACAAUAAACCCACUGUGAUGCUAAAUCCUAACCAUGUAUUAUGACUAUUGUUAUGUAAACACACUGUAAACUACCAAAAUUCAACUUCAUAGUUAGUUUUCUUUUUGUGUGUUGUCUCAAAAAAGUGUUUUCUAAGUUUGCUUCCUCUUUAGCACUCAACUGUUCACGGGUGGUUGGUUUGUUUGUUCGUACAAUAAAAGCACAAACUGGGCGUCACCCAGCAGCAGCGACCUGUCUGGUGUAAAGUUUCAUGUGCAUGUUUUAUGUCCGAGCAACUUUAAACACAAACACACUAGAUCUAAAAAUAGACGUCAGUUGCUGAUGCCAUGGAGUUAUUGCUCUUUAGCUGCAAUUUUUUCAUCUUUUCAGUUUGCAAUUCUUAUAAACCUUGUGGCUGUUUUGAUUCAGUCAGUCCUGAAAUUUGGCAGCUCACAAACCACACAGUUUAAAUAUUUAAAGUCAAGUUAAAGUCAAAAGUCCCAUUAGUCAACACACACUGGCGAAAUUCAUCUCUGCAUUUGACCCGUCCCCGUGGACAGCAGUGAGCUGCAGCUCAGGAACUUGGUGGUUUAACCCGCCAAUCCAGCCGCUUAAAGCUGAGCGUCGAGCAGGGAGGCAUCUGGUCCCAUUGUUAAGGUAUUUGGCAUGACCUGACUGGGAUUUGAACCCCGAUCUCCCACUCUCUGGGCAGACACUCUACCACUAGCCUACUCUGUCGCAUGAUUCGCCCUGAACCAAAGUGGUAUUUGAUAUAGCGCCUUCUAGAGUUCUGGAACCCCCCAAGGCACUUUACAACACAAUCAGUCAUUCUCCCAUUCACACACACAUUCACACCCUGGUGGUGAUGAGCUAUGAUGUAGCCACAGCUGCCCUGGGGCGCACUGACAGAGGCGAUAAAUGAUAAACACUCACCUGCCUCUGGAUCAAUGUUAAAACUAUUAUCCCAGUAAAGUUAUUAUUUUCUCCAGCAUGUUUCCUGCCAGAGACACAAACUAGCAGGUGACUGUCAGACGUUCAAGCUUCUCAGUGUCAACAAUACAGUCUUUCCAGUGGCGGCUGGCCAGUAGAGGGCGAUAGGGUGCCGCCCUCCCAGUUUUUCCGUGUUUUUAAUUUUUAUUUAAAAAAAUAAAUAAAUAAAAUGAACAAUAAUCACAUAUUCUAAGUUAAUUGUGUGUUUUGUAACAAAAAAAUAAUCAUAUAUAUAUAUAUAUCUAUAUUGGUCUCUGCCGGUCUCUGCCGAGCGGUGGAGGCUGUGUGCUGUUUUUCAAUCGCCCAAACAGGACGAGACCAGUUGUCCAAUUGCUGACAAGAAUAUCAAAGGGUAGGAAUGGGAAUGUAUCCAAUCAGCGUCGACGUUGUUUCAGAACGUUUCAGAAGCAUGAUGGGCGAUGGAGCUACCGCCAAAGGUUUCGUUGGUGUUCGGUAGAACUCGGCAGAGUCGUUUUUGGUCGUGACGCAGAUGUAACAUGGACGCUGCCAGUGACUACAACCAGCAUGGAUACCGGAUCUCAGCAGCCACUGAAUUCAGUUCGGUCUCUUCUCCAGUAUCCGUUCGAGAGGAGAACUAUGGUGGAAAAACUUAAUGUCAAAGAGCUUGGACCAGAUCAGCCCGACGUAAAGAUAAGCCAGCAGGAGAAGGAGAGAGAUAAGGCAUGGAUGAGUCAGGAGUUACAGACAUGAAACAUUUUUCUGAGAAGGUGAAGAAACACGAGUCAUCCCGGGCACACAUGGACAACAACACAGUGAAGCUAGCCAUGCUAGGCAGCAGAGCUAACGUUGCCAUGCAGGGAACAACAGCAGCUGGGUGCAGAGGUAAGCUGUACAUUACAUUUCUGUGAACAAGACAAUCAGAAUCAGAAAUCCUUGGUUGUCCCACAAACCGGGACAUUAGUUUAAUAACAUGUUUAAUGUGCAAUAACUGUAAAAACUAAUUUCAACACACAUACUUAUUAUACAUAUUUAAUCACGUAAAUGUGUAUUUCAUGUAAAUUUGUACAUACAUCAAUCUGAUUCCAGUUUACUUGUUACACUUCUGCUGCAGCAAACAAAUUUCCCAGCUUUUGGGACAAUAAAACAUUUCUGAUUCUCAAUUAGAUGUUUUUACCUCAAAUGUAAAAACAUCUGAUUGAGAAUCAGAAAUGUUUUAUUGUCCCAAAAACUGGGAAAUAUGACAUUUGUAAGAGGAUACUGAUGACAUUAUUUCCUAUGAAAGUGUUUCCUAUGUACUUAUCUGUUGUUUUUUAUUUAUCAUAUGACAGGUUUUUCACACCGUCCUGAGCCAUGCAAAAGAAGAUUCUUGUCACCACACCCAUGACCACAGCCGAAUCAGAAAGGUGCUUUUCUACUUUAAAGAGGAUUAAGACUUUCCUUGAGGAACACCAUGACACAGGAUGGGCUGAAUGCUCUUGCCAUGCUCUCCAUGGAAAAAAAAGCUUGUCACAAACAUUCCUGACUUCAAUAAAAAGCUCAUCGAGAGCUUUGCCACUCAGAAGGACAGAAGGGCAAAAUUUCUGUACAAAUGAGGUAUCACACACACACACACACACACACACACACACACACACACACACACACACACACACACACACACACACACACA